GAAGGAAGGAAGGAAGGAAGAAAAACAAGCACAAGGGAUGGACUGGGGGAAGGAAUAGCUGGACCCUGUGCUACCAUUAAGGAUUUGCCUUGCCCAAGCCUGUGUCUCCAAUGCUAAAAAGGACUGGGCCUGCUGAGGAGAGGAAGCAUGUCUCUGUAUACGUCUGUGGCUUAACUAAAGUCGGGUGUCUUACUUCAUGAAUUCUUUGCAAGUCUAAAGAAAUUAGGUCUUCAAUCACGGACAGUGGAGAUCACUCUGUUUUCCAUGCUCCUACUUUUCACUUCUUUCCUUCAAGAUGUAUGUGGGAAACCUUCUCUCGGUCCCAGGAGGACGGAAAGGGACUUCUGUCACAUCUUAGUAUUGUUGUUCCUUGACCACCAAGAGAAGCACUGAAGAAUGAAAGAAAAUAUUGCCCUCUCCACAAGGAACUUAAACACUCAACCAUCUGCUAGCCCAGGGAAUGACUAAAACGUUAAGAUGCAGAUUUUCAAAGGAUCUCAGCUCCCACCUAAAUGCCUAGCACCAAUUAUUGGGCUGCUUUGGUCUUUCUCUUUCCCCUUGAUUUAAAGAGUCAAUGUUGCUGGAAAGAGGAUAAACUACCUCUUUAUAUGAGGUUCCUGGCUGCAUGGCUGGUGGACUAGGACUUCCUCUGGAAAAGGGGUGGGGGGAAAAGGAGUAAAGAAGCCACCCUUGUUGAGCUAUUGGCUGGGACUCCAGUCUCUGGGACCAAUAUUUAAAACUCAGACCUGUCCCAUCCAAACAGGGGCUGUUGGCAACCAGCUCUACAAAUUGUACUCAUGAGAACAACACUGCAUUUUCAGAGAGACAAUUGGUUCAUCUAAUAGGUUUCUCCUCAUCUCCAAUAAUACAUAUAUAGAGAUGUCCAUGACAACUUUAAAGUUUCAGACUUAAGCCAUUUUUGAAUAGUGAAGGUUUUUUUUGUUUUUGUUUUUUCCCAUCCUCUCCAAGCUCAAAAAUAACUGGAAAUAUUUUGCUCAAACUUUAAAAAAAAAAAAUCACCUUGAGGCAGAGACCAAGCAUGGAAAUUUUCAGCUUAAAAGGUGAAUAUUUCAGAAUGUUAUAAACAUGGGAAAAUGGGCUUGUGACUAAAGGUGUUUUGUAACCUUAACUAUAACAGGUGCUAUUGAGCUAUUGUACUAUCCUUUCUCUGUAUUUCUUCUUGUAUUUAGGGCUAUAAGACAUAACUACAAGUCUGAAUGGCCAAGAAAAAAACACCACAUUUUUUAAACAAUGCAAGCAGUUAGAGGAGCUGAUAAACUUUACUGGAUUCUAAAGUAAGUCUAUAGUCAGUCUUUUUAUCAUACAUUUUUUACAGAUGCACAAAUUCACAUGAAUCAGGUAGAAAUAUUAAUGUUAGACAACCUUUCAAAAAUACAUAUGUUUCUACCAUUGACAAAACAGAGAGCCGAAGCUUCAUCCUAAAUUGGCACAUAAAUAUCAUUAUUUAUAACUACAUUUUAAAAUUGUAAUUGUGAAGCCCUUGUAACAGCUUUUGAUUAUUAUACUA